rnacentral:rRNA from 1 species
GUUGGGGACGGCGCCAUCAGUAGGCAGCCGGGUGGGUGGCCCGCUAUGAGCACCAGCGAGCCCUCCGGUGGGAUCCACAAGGAAAGAGCUUGUAGUAAGAGCGGACAGAACAUAGAGAGCCUAUUUCAGCAGCAUGCAACUGGAGUAGGUUCGGCAGCUUAUCCGCAGGGGAGAGACGAGGUGGCCCGCCAGUUACAGCUAAUAGCUAUGGAGCCUCAAGCUGUUCAGAACAGAGAUGACCUGUUCGUUUGGCCCUGGAUGGGUGUUUUGGUCAAUGUGCCUACUGAACGGAAAAAUGGGCGCCAUGUUGGAGAAAGUGGAAACCGGCUGAAGGAGAAGCUCUCGUGCUUUUGCCCACAGAAAGUUAUCCCUUUGUGGAACUAUAGAGGCCACACAGGGAAUGCUAUUGUUGAGUUUGGAAAAGAUUGGACUGCCUUCAAUAAUGCACUUGCCUUCGAAAAUCACUUUGAGUCAGAAGGAUAUGGCAAACUGGACUGGAAGGCGUACAAGCAUCGACGACCGGGGAUGUUUGGAUGGGUUGCAAGGGCUGAUGAUCAGAAAUAUCCAGGGCCGAUCGGAGAUUAUCUGCAUAAAAAUGGUGAUCUGAAAACUAUUGCAGAUGUUGAGAAUGAAGAAGCACGCAAAACAAACAAACUGGUAGCGAAUUUAGCUAGCCAGAUUGAGGUAAAGCGAAGGCAUGUGGAAGAACUUGAAUGUAAGUACAAUGAGACGACCACCUCACUUGACAUGAUAAUGGAGCAAAAGGAUCAGCUGCUCCGGGCAUACAAUGAAGAAAUACAUAAGAUGCAGCAACUUGCUCGUAGGCAUUCACAGAGGAUCAUUGAUGAGAAUCAAAAGCUCCGUUCAGAACUUGAGUCCAAGAUGCAGAACCUUGACUUAAGAUCCAAACAGCUUGAUGAGCUAGUUGCGCGUAGUGAAUCUGACAGAAGGAACCUUGAGCACGAGAAGGAAAAGAACGGUGUUAAAACAAAGCAUCUUAAGAUGGCAACAUUGGUGCAACAGAAGGCUGAUGAAAAUGUGCUCAAGCUUGUGGAAAAACACAAGUUAGAGAAACAAGUCGCUCUAGAUAAGAUUAUCAAGUUGGAGCAUCAACUGGAUGCCAAGCAGAAGCUUGAGUUAGAAAUAAAACAGUUGCAGGGUAAAUUGGAAGUCAUGAAGCAUAUGCCAGGUGAAGAAGACUCUGAAUCGAAGAAAAGAAUAGAUGAACUUAGUGAGGAGUUACAAGACAAAUAUGAUGAAAUGGAUGCAAUGGAGUCACUCUACCAUACUCUGCUUAUCAAGGAACGGAAAAGCAAUGAUGAAUUGCAAGAUGCUCGGAAGAAGCUGAUAGAUGGUUUGCAGACUAUUACAACUGGUCGAGCAAAUAUUGGCAUUAAAAGAAUGGGCGAACUUGAUCUUAAAUCACUUGCAAUUGCUUGCGGACGUAAAUUGUCAAAAGAAGAUGCAGAAGUGACUGCUGCCAUUCUUUGUUCGAAGUGGGAGGCUGAUAUCAAAAAACCAGAAUGGCACCCUUUUAGGGUUGUCAUGGUUAAUGGGAAAAAAAGGGAGCUUAUCUCUGAAGAUGAUGCGAAGCUUCAGACCCUAAGAGAAGAGUAUGGCGAAGAAGUCUAUUCUUUGGUGACAAAGGCGCUGCUUGAAGUUAACGAGUACAACCCCCGUGACCGCUAUCCCGUACCGGAGCUGUGGAACUACAAGGAGGGCCGCAAAGCAACACUGAAAGAGGCCUUGCAGUACGUCCUGAAACAGUGGCGGGCACACAAGAGGAAGCGCUGA